rnacentral:rRNA from 1 species
UACGGAGGGUGCAAGCGUUGUCCGGAAUUACUGGGCGUAAAGGGCUCGUAGGCGGCCAACUAAGUCGGACGUGAAAUCCCCAGGCUCAACCUGGGAACUGCGUCCGAUACUGGAUGGCUUGAAUCCGGGAGAGGGAUGCAGAAUUCCAGGUGUAGCGGUGAAAUGCGUAGAUAUCUGGAGGAAUACCGGUGGCGAAGGCGGCAUCCUGGACCGGCAUUGACGCUGAGGAGCGAAAGCCAGGGGAGCAAACGGG